GACGAACGCUGGCGGCGUGCUUAACACAUGCAAGUCGAACGGAAAGGCCCUGCUUUUGUGGGGUGCUCGAGUGGCGAACGGGUGAGUAACACGUGAGUAACCUGCCCUUGACUUUGGGAUAACUUCAGGAAACUGGGGCUAAUACCGGAUAGGAGCUCCUGCUGCAUGGUGGGCGUUGGAAAGUUUCGGCGGUUGGGGAUGGACUCGCGGCUUAUCAGCUUGUUGGUGGGGUAGUGGCUUACCAAGGCUUUGACGGGUAGCCGGCCUGAGAGGGUGACCGGCCACGUUAGGACUGAGGUACGGCCCAGACUCGAACGGGAGGCAACAGUGGAGAAUAUUACACAGUGAGCGGGAGCCUGAUGCGGCGACGCCACGUGCGGGAUGACGGCCUUCGGGUUGUAAAGCGCUGUCGCCUGAGACGAAGCGUGAGUGACGGUAAUGGGUGAAGAAGCACCGGCUAACUACGUG
rnacentral:rRNA from 1 species